GAUGAAGAACGUAGCGAAAUGCGAUAAGUAAUGUGAAUUGCAGAAUUUAGUGAAUCAUCGAAUGUUUGAACGCACAUUGCGCCCCCUGGUAUUCCGGGGGGCAUGCCUGUCCGAGCGUCAUUGCUGCCCUCAAGCACGGCUUGUGUGUUGGGCCCCGUCCCCUCCCCCGGGGACGGGCCCGAAAGGCAGCGGCGGCACCGCGUCCGAUCCUCGAGCGUAUGGGGCUUUGUCACCCGCUCUGUAGGCCCGGCCGGCGCCAGCCGACACCCAACUUUUAUUUCUAAGGUUGACCUCGGAUCAGGUAGGGAUACCCGCUGAACUUAAGCAUAUCAAUAAGCGGAGGA
rnacentral:misc_RNA from 1 species